UUUAUAUCAUAUAUAAUAUAUAUUUGUAUGUUUAUAUCAUAUCCUGGUUAUAUUAUAUUCUAUGUCUAAUAAUUUCAAUAUUGAAGUUUAUGAGCCUUUUUAUACUAUCCUUUGUUCCUACUGCUUCUUAAUCAAUCAUAUUAUGUUUCCAUUUA